AUGUAGGACAAUCUGUCUUUAAGUAGGGAUAAAUUACUAUUAAAAAAUGAAUCCUAGAUAGUUUUCCAUUCAAGUCAAGCAUCAUGU
rnacentral:pre_miRNA from 1 species